UAUGGUCGAGGCAGUUGUAACAUUCUCUCCCUCUUAAAUUAUACCCUUGUCUUCAAUGGUAUGGUCAGGAAAUUGAUUUCUUAUGGUUUCCACUGGUUCCCAUGCGGCAUCUGAUGGAGGUAAGCCGUACCAUAAGAUUAACACUUCUUCUUUAUUUUUCCUUACACAACGAUUCAAAAUAGCUUGAGGCUUUGGGCUCAUUAUUCCGUCUUCUUCCCACAUGACUGGAAGUUGAGUUUGUACCCCAUCAUUCACCCUUAGUUUUGGUUUGAGAAGGGAGACAUGAAAAACGACGCGAAUUCUGGAAUCACUUGGUAGAUCCAAUUUGCAGGCAACUGCUCCAAUUUGUUUCAAGAUUUGGAAUGGACCAAAAAAUUUAGGAGAAAGUUUCAAGUCCCUCCUUAUAGCCAUUGAUAACUGUCUAUAUGGCUGGAGCCUAAAAUAAACCCAGUCACCCGCUAAAAAUUCUCGCUCGUUGUGUUUUGAAUCAUAUACUCGUUUCAUGCGUUUUUGGGCUUCCUUGAUAUUUUUCUCCAAGUUAUUUAACAACCCUGUCUCGAUCAAUUAAGUCCUUCUCAACCGCGGUCACCCUUGAAGUACCUUCAUCAUAGCUUAAGAGGGUAGGAGGGGCUUUUCCAUACACGGCCUCAAAUGGUAUCGUUUUAAUAGUGGAGUGCCAAUUGGUGUUGUAGCAGUAUUCAGCCCAUGAAAGCGAUUUGGACCAGUCCUUUGGUUGAGAGCUAGAAAAACUACGGAGGUACAUUUCUAAUGUACAAUUGACCACUUUACUUUGGCCAUCCGUUUGCGGGUGAUAUGCACAACUAAAAUUGAACUUGGUUCCAUUCAAAUGGAACAAUUUCUGCCAGAAGAUGCUAGUGCAGGCUAGGUCACGGUCACAAACAAUAGAUCUUGGCAUCCCAUGUAGGUGAAAAAUUUGGUCAAAGAAGGUUUGGGCUACACUUACAGCAGUGUAAGGAUGUGAAAUGGUCGUAAGGUGUGCAUAUUUGGAUAACCAGUCAACGACCACCAAUAUUGUUGUCUUUCCUUUGGAAGCUAGUAAUCCAUCUAUGAAGUCUAUGGAUAUGUCGUCCCAUAUCAAGUUUGGUAUUGGUAAAGGUUGUAGAAGACUUGCCGGGGUCAUGUUCUCCCCUUUGUGGUGUUGACAUACAUCACAACUUUUGAUAUGUUUAUUGACGUGUAGCCUCAUACCCUUCCAAUAAAAGAUAGAACGUAUUCUAAGAAGGGACUUUAAAACUCUUCAUGGGUGCUUCCAUGAAAUUAAUUGACAAUGUCUUUUAUAAGUGCCGAAUCUUCUGCAAUGUAGACCUUCUCUUUAAAAACAAAAUUCCUUCUUGUAGCUUCCAUGGUCCAAUAGCCUCUCCACCCUUUACUAAUUCAACUCACCUUUGAAGAGUAAGAUUAGUAUGAAUUUCUUCCUUGAUCGCAUCCACCCAGUGAGGAAUGGGCAAUGAAAGUUCUGCGAGCCCACCUCAAGUCUCUGUUUUUUCAUGUUUUCUUGAUAAAGCAUUAGCAACACUAUUUUGUUUCCCACUUUUGUACUCGAUGGUGAAGUCAAAACCCAUUAGUUUGUAAAGCAAGCAAUGAUUUUCUGGUCCCAUAAAAACUUGAGACAUUGGUGAUCGGUGUGGACCACAAAUUUUCUCCCCAAAAUAUAAGGCCGCUACCUUUGCACAGCAAGAACUAAAGCCAAAAUUUCCUUUUCAUAAGUGGAGAGAAAAAGAUUUUUACCUUGGAGAGCAUAGCUAUAAAAAGCUAUGGGUCAAUCUUGUAAGAGGACAUCGCCAAUACCCGAUCUGGAUGCAUCACAUUCUAUGAUGACGUCUCAUGAGAAAUCAGGGAGUGCUAGUUUGGGGGCUCGUGUCAACACCUCCUUUAAUUUUUGAAAUGCCUCCUUUGCAAGUUGAUUCCAACCAAAUGAAUCUUUCUUGAGCAAUUUGGUGAGGGGCCCGGCUAUUUUUUCAUAGUCCUUGAUGAACUUCCUAUAGUAGCCCGUCAACCCAAGAAAUCCACGCAAGGCCUUGGGUGUGGUGGGCCUUGGCCAAUCCAUCAUUGCUAUUACCUUGUCCGGAUCCAUGGCUACGCCAUCUUGGGAAAUUACAUGACCUAAAUAAUUAACCUUAUUUUGGCCAAACUGACAUUUUUCAAAUUUUAUAUAUAAUUGGUUCAACCGUAAAAUUAAAAAAGUAAUUUCCAAGUGUCUCAUGUGAUCAGCCCAUGAUUUACUGUACCCCAAAAUAUCAUAAAAAAACACAAGAGUAAACUUCUUUAAAUGAAUUUUGAAUACCUGGUUCAUGAGUGCUUGGAAGGUUGAUGGUGCAUUGGUGAGUCCAAAAGCCAUGAUGAAAAACUCGUAAUGAUCGUGAUGGGUUAUGAAUGCUAUCUUUUCAAUAUCGGUUGGAUGCAUUCGGAUUUGGUGAUAUCCAGACUGCAGAUCUAAUUUGAGAAGAAUUUAGCUCCAUGCAAUUUGUCCAAAAGUUUGUCUAUUACAAGCAUUGGGAAUUUAUCUUUGAUUGUAAUUUUGUUUAAUGCCUUGUAUGGCUUGAUGGACACCGAGCCAUGCCCACUCAUGAGAGGAAUGAUGUAAUCUGAUGCAUGUUGUGGAGGUAGGCCAGUGGGUUUGGUGAUAAUCUCUUGAAACCUUUUAACAUACACUGAAUCUCGUGCGAAAUGGCGGGCUUCUCAGUCAUUUGCAAUAGGGUAUUCAAGCAUGGCAUUUGAAGUAGCACUCCCUUUGCAGUCUUCCUAGCAGCACGUCUCAUAUCAGGGUCUUUAAUCAGUCGGUUUUUGGGUACCGAGAAGCCCUACAACUUAAUGUGUUUUCCGCCCAUUUUGAAUUUCAUUUGUAGUUUUGAAAAGUCCCAAGUGAUGGGUUCCAACAUUUGUAGCCACUCUGCUCCCAAAACUACAUCAUAGCCUUCUAAUGGUAGUGAAAAGAAAUCAACAUAAAGUGAAAUAUCUUGCAAACUCAUCUUGACAUUAGAGCAUUUCCCUGUGCUGGAAACUUUCUCUCCAGAGGUGACGGCCACCUCUAAUCGUCCUCUAAGAUGAGAUUUUAGUCCCACCCUUUGCGCUAGAUUCUCACUGAUGAAAUUAUGGGUACGCCCAGAAUCGAUGAGGAUAGUGGCUUCCCGUCUGAGGCGUCCUGUGACUCUCAUCGUUUCUGGUGCUCGAAUUCCAAAAAUUGCAUGAAGUGAGAUUGCAGGCGUUGCUGUUGAGUCAUCUUCGUCAUUCUCCAUGACCGCAUCACCAUUGAUUUCCUCCGUACAAGCUUCAAUCAAGAAUAUUUUCUUACAACCAUGGCCUGGGUUCCACUUGUCAUUACAGUUGUAACAAAGACUCUUACUUCUUAUUUCUUGUAAUUUUGCAGAUGACAUCAUUCUCACUAGAAUGGUCGCCUGGUUGGAACUGGUUUUCUUAUUGAGUGAGAAGGUGGGCCGUGAGACAGGUGGAGCAAUUUUUUUUAAAGAUUGGGAUGGAGCCUCAAAGAGGAGUGCCAUGCUAAUGGCCCCUGAAAGGGUUGUGGGCCGAUUUGCCUGCACAUCAGCUUUCACACUUUCGUGUAGACCGCUCACAAAGCAACUGACUUGGCGAGCUUGAGGAAGAUGCCCCACCUUGGACAACAACUUCUCGAAUUGUGUUUGGUAUUCGUGUACUGACCCUAUUUGUUGUAGUUUGGUGAGUUUGUCGAAGAAGUCCAUAAAUUGAUUAGGACCAUGGCGAGAGUGGAGCCCUUCUUUAAAUUCAUCCCAAGAGAUGGAACCUUUCUCUUGUUUCAAGAGCUGGAACCAUAGUUGGGCUUUUCUUUCAUGAUGGAAGGAUGCCAAUGAUACUUUCUCGUCGUCAAUCGUUGUAUGCAAGUGGAAGAAUUGCUCGGUCCUACAAAGCCAGCUUGUUGGGUCUUCGUCUCCAUUGAAACGAGGGAAGUCUAGCUUGACCAUUUUUGGGGUGUAAGAACUUGCAGUGCCACCUGACUGAAAAUGACUUCCAUAUGAUUUUGCUAGCGUGUGAGAAUUACCUUCAUUCUCUUUUGUUGAAGGUGUUGUCAUCUGAUCUAUCUGAAUG
rnacentral:lncRNA from 1 species